ACCAGCAUGGCGUAGUGGUUUGAGCACUGGACUGUGACUCUAGGGACCAGGGUUCGAUUCCCAGCUCAGCCC